rnacentral:SRP_RNA from 1 species
GCUGGGUGUGGUGGCGCAUGCCUGUAAUUCCAGCUACAUGGGAAGCUGAGGCAGGAGAAUCGCUUGAACCCAGGAGGCAGAGGUUGCAGUGAGUCGAGAUCAUACCAUUGCACUCCAGCCUGGGUGACAGAGCGAGACUCUGUCUCAA